GAACGAACGCUGGCGGCGCGCCUAAUACAUGCAAGUCGAGCGAGAAGACGUAGCAAUACGUUUGUAAAGCGGCGAACGGGUGAGGAAUACAUGGGUAACCUACCCUCGAGUGGGGAAUAACUAGCCGAAAGGUUAGCUAAUACCGCGUACGCUCCUUGGACUUCGGUUCAGGGAGGAAAGCGAUACCGUGGGUAUCGCGCUCUUGAAUGGGCUCAUGUCCUAUCAGCUUGUUGGUGAGGAACGGCUCACCAAGGCUUCGACGGGUAGCUGGUCUGAGAGGACGAUCAGCCACACUGGCACUGCGACACGGGCCAGACUCCUACGGGAGGCAGCAGUAAGGAAUAUUGCGCAAUGGGCGAAAGCCUGACGCAGCGACGCCGCGUGGGGGAGUGAAGGU
rnacentral:rRNA from 1 species